rnacentral:rRNA from 1 species
GACGAACGCUGGCGGCGUGCUUAACACAUGCAAGUCGAGCGAGACCCCGCUUUCGGGUGGGUGUUCUAGCGGCGAACGGGUGAGUAACACGUGGGCAACCUGCCCUCGGCUCUGGGAUAACUCCAAGAAAUUGGGGCUAAUACCGGAUAUGACCGCUGACCGCAUGGUCUGGUGGUGGAAAGAUUUAUCGGCUGGGGAUGGGCCCGCGGCCUAUCAGCUUGUUGGUGGGGUAGUGGCCUACCAAGGCGACGACGGGUAGCCGGCCUGAGAGGGUGACCGGCCACACUGGGACUGAGACACGGCCCAGACUCCUACGGGAGGCAGCAGUGGGGAAUAUUGCGCAAUGGGCGAAAGCCUGACGCAGCGACGCCGCGUGGGGGAUGACGGCCUUCGGGUUGUAAACCUCUUUCAGCAGGGACGAAGUGAAAGUGACGGUACCUGCAGAAGAAGCACCGGCCAACUACGUGCCAGCCGCCGCCGUAA